CGCAGUCGCGGAGGCUGCCCGACGGGUACAAUGAACCUCGAUCAACUGUCGCAGUUUCUCGCCACGGUAGUGCGCCGGCACACCGCACGCGAGGAGAGCAUUGGCGCCAAACGUCGACUUGUGGCGCUAUACCGUGGCGAUGCCAACGGCGACGGCGCUCGGUCACUCCCCGUCGCUUCGCUCAAGACGCUCUACACGGACUUUGAGGUACGUGAGCUGCCCGCCUUUUACGGCGAUGGUGCUCCCCUUGUGCUCGAGCUAGGCGGCAGUGCCUCAAUCAAGAGUGCAGAUGAUUCUGCACCGAAUGGCGUAAUCAUCAGCUCCCUCAAGCGUUCUCGUGACGCGCAGGAGGACCACGGUAAAACGGUAGUCGCGCCAAAGGUCGCGGAGGCGGGCGCGCCGGUACCGUGCAGCACCGUCGAGGAAGUGAUCGGACCCCUGAUCAGCACCGAGGACCUUGCGAAUCUGCGUACCGGACUGGCCGGUGCGGCCAAGUCGAUUCCGCUGCCGAGUGUCACCGACAAGGAGAAGCGCGCCGCGCUUCACAAGGCCAUCAAGACGUGUCUCGGCGGCACGCACGUGAGCAACACGGUGGAUGGGGUCGUGACCGUCUUCAAGGCAAACGCGGCCGACCGCCGGGAAGAGCGUCGCCGCUCUCGCGCCAACCGCCCAGAGCCGAAGUACCACCACUUCACGCUUUACAAGGAGAACACGGACAACAACCAGGCGCUGCGCAUGCUCGCCCACCACCUGAAGCUCUCCUCGCGACAGCUGCAGUUCUGCGGCACCAAGGACAAGCGGGCCGUCACGCUGCAGCGCGUUGCUGUACGCGAAACAACAGUGGAGCGACUCAUGACGAUCAACAGUCGCGCCUUCGGAGCACACAACGUCAUCAAGGUAUGCGGCUUCACGGAGGAGAAGCACGGGUUGCGCCUCGGCGACGCUCUCGGGAACCACUUUCGUAUUGUUCUCCGAAUGUUCCCUGCCGCGCCGUCGGCUGCCGAAGGCGAGACUUCCGUGUGCCACGCGCUUACGGCGCAGGACCUGCACGAGGUAGAACGCGUCGUGCAAGAGGUGGGGGUCAUCAACUACUUUGGCCCUCAGCGCUUCGGCACGACAAGCGUCUUGACCAGUGACGUUGGCGUCCAGUUCCUGCAGGGGCGCCUUCGCGAGGGCCUUCGCCUGAUCCUGGAGUCCAAAGCGCGCAUGGUGCCGGAGAUGCAGCGGGUAGUGGAGCUCUUCGACGCGAGCGACUACGUGGCAGCGCUACAGGCGGCGCCGUACUAUUGCUACCAGGAGCGCGACAUCCUCAAACACCUGUCGACGAAUCCGAACGACUACCUGGGCUCGUUGCAGGCCCUCUCACGUACCAUGGGGAUGAUGUACUUUCACUCUGUGCAGAGUCUUGUAUGGAACCUACUGGCCUCGUCGCGGCUGUCCGACAAGGGUCGAGCACACGCCGAGGUGGGUGAUCUCGUGCUUGAAUCGACGUAUCAGGAGCGCGUGGCGGCCAGGGAUGCGCAACCAACGCCGAACUUCGACGACUCCAAGCUGCCUGCUGCCCGUCGUCUGACCAGCGAAGACGACUGCGCGCGUUUUGGCCUCGAGGACGUCCUUCUGCCGAUCCCAGGGCCAGAUCAAGAUCUCGUGUACCCCUCCUCGUUUGGCUGCACGCGAGACGACUAUGAUGCUGUGCUCGCGGCGCUGGGCAUCGACUUUGCGUCGAAGGAGGCGCUGGCGCUGAUGAAGGUGUUUCACUUCCACGGCACGUACCGUGCGCUGGGGGUGCGACCCAAGGGCUUCUCACUGCGUGCGGAGACAGUGGCUGGCUGGCGAACCCCUGUGCUGAAGUCCGACUGGGAGAAACACUGCGACGCAGAAGGUAUCGUGACACCGGCGGUCAGCAGCGCCGGCAACGCGGCAUCGGUGCUGGAGCCGACGGGACCGGUGCAAGUCGUGGUCGCCACCUUCUCACUGCCACCCGGCAGCUACGCGACGAGUGUGCUACGAGAGUUUUGCAUUCCUACGACGGAGAACGGUCAAGGCAAAGACUCAGGGACGGAGGAUGAGUAAAGCAGCCGUGGCGACGCCCUGUCACACGAUGGGUGGCAGGCAGGUCGCGACGCUGGUUUUCACCAGCGGCCCACAAGCCGUUGCGUCGUCACGCGCUCGUUGCGCCUCUGCCGCCUCUGUCGUUCCAUCGCAUUGCUGUCACUGACUCCUCUGGCGCAUGCCAUGUGAUGGAGUCAACGUGCAAGUAAGGCCCUAGAAGACUCUCUCGCGCUGCAGCAUGUUUCUUUUUUUUUGUCGUUGCCUCUUCUGGAGCUGCACCGGCGUC
rnacentral:misc_RNA from 1 species